GACGAACGCUGGCGGUGUGCUUAACACAUGCAAGUCGAACGGUAAGGCCCUUUCGGGGGUACACGAGUGGCGAACGGGUGAGUAACACGUGAGUAACCUGCCCUCAUCUCUGGGAUAACAGUCGGAAACGGUUGCUAAUACUGGAUAUGAGCUUGCAAGGCAUCUUGUGGGUUGGAAAGAUUUUUUUGGUUGGGGAUGGACUCGCGGCCUAUCAGCUUGUUGGUGAGGUAGUGGCUCACCAAGGCUUCGACGGGUAGCCGGCCUGAGAGGGCGACCGGCCACAUUGGGACUGAGAUACGGCCCAAACUCCUACGGGAGGCAGCAGUGGGGAAUAUUGCACAAUGGACGGAAGUCUGAUGCAGCAACGCCGCGUGCGGGAUGACGGCCUUCGGGUUGCAAACCGCUUUCAAUUGUGACGAAGCUUUUUGUGACGGUAGCAGUAGAAGAAGCACCGGCUAACUACGUG
rnacentral:rRNA from 1 species